rnacentral:siRNA from 1 species
AGGGAUGCAACACGAGGACUUC